rnacentral:tRNA from 1 species
UCGUGAUGUCUGAACAAUUUAUUUUUAGACCAUGAUCCUGUCACCUUAGGUCGAUCGGUACCUCAAUUCGAAUAUCAAAUUGUCUGAUUCUUCAGUUAAUUUGAUAUUCGCCUUCAGUUCCUAAACUUGUCUAGGUCACACCCAGCAAGGGUACUCCUGGGCCAUUAGCUCAGGUGGUUAGAGCGCACCCCUGAUAAGGGUGAGGUCCCUGGUUCAAGUCCAGGAUGGCCCAUUCGGUGUUGGGGGUAUAGCUCAGUUGGUAGAGCGCCUGCUUUGCAAGCAGGAUGUCAGCGGUUCGAGUCCGCUUACCUCCACUGAUCAACCUUCUGAUAACCAAUGGAAAGGAGAUCUUUUCUUUGCUUGUGACUUAGAUUUUGUUCACAUAAAUGAACCUAGCUUCUUGUCAUUCAUUCAUAAAUAACUUUUGGAUUUGACUGAUAGGACGCUGGGCUCACAGCAAUUUUAAAAUUGCUGAAAACUUCAGUAAGACCCUUGAACAACUGCAUAGGUGAAUCCUGGAAAGAAUAAAGCAUCUCAUGGAUGCCAUUUGUCUUUUCAGUGAAAAUAGUUAAAGUUCUAUUCUAUUUAAGGACUAUUUUUUUUCCUGAAAUUUGCAAGUGUUUGAUUUCUUGAGUCAGAGACGCGAAGACUCUAUAC